AAGCAGGGGAUCGUAAGACCUUGCGCUUUUGGAGCGGCCGAUGCCUGAUUAGCUAGUUGGUGGGGUAAGGGCCUACCAAGGCGACGAUCAGUAGUUGGUCUGAGAGGACGACCAGCCACACUGGGACUGAGACACGGCCCAGACUCCUACGGGAGGCAGCAGUGGGGAAUUUUGGACAAUGGGCGAAAGCCUGAUCCAGCCAUGCCGCGUGAGUGAAGAAGGCCUUCGGGUUGUAAAGCUCUUUCAGUCGAGAAGAAAAAAUUGCGACUAAUAAUCGCAAUUCAUGACGGUAUCGACAGAAGAAGCACCGGCUAACUACGUGCCAGCAGCCGCGGUAAUACGUAGGGUGCAAGCGUUAAUCGGAAUUACUGGGCGUAAAGGGUGCGCAGGCGGCCUUGUAAGUCAGAUGUGAAAUCCCCGGGCUUAACCUGGGAACUGCGUUUGAAACUACAAAGCUAGAGU
rnacentral:rRNA from 1 species